GACGAACGCUUGCGGCGUGCCUAAGAAAUGCAAGUCGAGCGAGGUUUAGGCUUCGGCCGACGACCUAGCGGCGAACGGUCGCGUAACACGUAAGCAACCUGCCCUAAAGUUGGGGAUAGCCCGCCGAAAGGCGGAUUAAUACCGAAUGUGGAUAUGAUUUCGCAUGUGAUUAUAUCUGAAGCAGCGAUGCGCUUUAGGAUGGGCUUGCGGCCUAUCAGUUAGUUGGUGUGGGUAACGGCCUACCAAGACGACGACGGGUAGCUGGUCUGAGAGGAUGGUCAGCCGGAUUGGGACUGAGACACGGCCCAGACUCCUACGGGGGGCAGCAAUUAGGAAUCUUGCGCAAUGGGCGAAAAGCCUGACGCAGCGACGCCGCGUGACUGAUGAAAGUCUUUCGUAGAUGUAAAGGUACGUUUUGUUUGGGGUACGGAAGGGAAAGGUAGACGGUAACCCGGACCGGAAACGUAAAAGACCCCGGACCGUAAACCUAACCGUUACGCCACGCACGCCGACCGGUAAAAGUAACAACGUACGUA
rnacentral:rRNA from 1 species